GGAAGUAAAAGUCGUAACAAGAUUUCCGUAGGUGAACCUGCGGAAGGAUCAUUAUUGUAUAACCGAGGUGCGAGGGCUGGCGCUGACCCGAAAGGUCGUGCACGCCCGAGUGCCCUCACACACAUCCAUCUCACCCCUAUGUGCACCACCGCGUGGGUCCCCCUUUGGCUUGUUCGGAGGGGGGCUUACGUUUUCACACAAACUUUGUAUGCAGUGUAGAAUGUAUUUUUUGUUUUUGCGAUCACGCAAUCAAUACAACUUUCAACAACGGAUCUCUUGGCUCUC
rnacentral:misc_RNA from 1 species